CCUACGGGUGGCAGCAGUGGGGAAUAUUGCACAAUGGGGGAAACCCUGAUGCAGCGACGCCGCGUGAAGGAAGAAGUAUUUCGGUACGUAAACUUCUAUCAGCAGGGAAGAAAAUAGCGGUAGCACACCAAGAAUCCCCCGCUAACUACGUCCCAGCAGCCGCGGUAGUACGUAGGGGGCAAGCUGUAUCAGGAUUUACUGGGUGUAAAGGGAGCGGAGACGGCCAUGCAAGUCUGAUGUGAAAACCCCGGGCUCAACCCCGGGACUGCAUUGGAAACUGUGCGGCUUGAGUGGUGGAGAGGCAAGUGGAAUUCCUAGUGUAGCGGUGAAAUGCGUAGAUAUCACGCAGAACCCCGAUUGCGAAGGCAGCCUUCCGGCGCCCUACUGACGCUGAGGCACGAAAGUGCGGGGAUCGAACAGGAUUAGAUACCCGUGUAGUC
rnacentral:rRNA from 1 species